UCACCUCCCCGUGUCAUCGUACCUUGUUGUUCGGCGGGCCCGCCGUUUCGACGGCCGCCGGGGAGGCCUGCGCUUCGGGCUCGCGCUCGCCGAAGACCCCAACAUGAACGCUGUUCUGAAAGUAUGCAGUCUGAGUUGAUUAUCGUAAUCAGUUAAAACUUUCAACAACGGAUCUCUUGGUUCCGGCAUCGAUGAAGAACGCAGCGAAAUGCGAUAAGUAAUGUGAAUUGCAGAAUUCAGUGAAUCAUCGAGUCUUUGAACGCACAUUGCGCCCCCUGGUAUUCCGGGGGGCAUGCCUGUCCGAGCGUCAUUGCUGCCCUCAAGCACGGCUUGUGUGUUGGGCCCCCGUCCCCCUCUCCCGGGGGACGGGCCCGAAAGGCAGCGGCGGCACCGCGUCCGGUCCUCGAGCGUAUGGGGCUUUGUCACCUGCUCUGUAGGCCCGGCCGGCGCCAGCCGACACCCAACUUUAUUUUUCUAAGGUUGACCUCGGAUCAGGUAGGGAUACCCGCUGAACUUAAGCAUA
rnacentral:rRNA from 1 species